GGACGAAAGGUAGUAGUUAAUACCUGCUAGAAGAGGGGGUUACUGACAGAAGAAGCACCGGCUAACUCCGUGCCAGCAGCCGCGGUAAUACGGAGGGUGCGAGCGUUAAUCGGAAUUACUGGGCGUAAAGCGUACGCAGGCGGUUUGUUAAGCGAGAUGUGAAAGCCCCGGGCUCAACCUGGGAACUGCAUUUCAAACUGGCAAACUAGAGUGUGAUAGAGGGUGGUAGAAUUUCAGGUGUAGCGGUGAAAUGCGUAGAGAUCUGAAGGAAUACCGAUGGCGAAGGCAGCCACCUGGGUCAACACUGACGCUCAUGUACGAAAGCGUGGGGAGCAAACAGGAUUAGAUACCCUGGUAGUCCACGCCGUAAACGAUGUCUACUAGAAGCUCGGAACCUCGGUUCUGUUUUUCAAAGCUAACGCAUUAAGUAGACCGCCUGGGGAGUACGGCCGCAAGGUUAAAACUCAAAUGAAUUGACGGGGAACCUU
rnacentral:rRNA from 1 species